UACGUAGGGGGCAAGCGUUGUCCGGAUUUAUUGGGCGUAAAGAGCGUGUAGGCGGCCUGGAAGGUCAGCUGUGAAAACUCGAGGCUCAACCUCGAGACGUCGGUUGAAACCACCUGGCUAGAGUCCGGAAGAGGAGAGUGGAAUUCCCGGUGUAGCGGUGAAAUGCGCAGAUAUCAGGAAGAACACCCGUGGCGAAAGCGGCUCUCUGGAACGGUACUGACGCUGAGACGCGAAAGCGUGGGGAGCGAACAGG
rnacentral:rRNA from 1 species